UACGUAGGCAGCGAGCGUUGUUCGGAGUUACUGGGCGUAAAGAGCUCGUAGGUGGUUUGUCGCGUUGUUCGUGAAAACUCACAACUCAAUUGUGGGCGUGCGGGCGAUACGGGCAGACUGGAGUACUGCAGGGGAGACUGGAAUUCCUGGUGUAGCGGUGGAAUGCGCAGAUAUCAGGAGGAACACCGGUGGCGAAGGCGGGUCUCUGGGCAGUAACUGACGCUGAGGAGCGAAAGCGUGGGGAGCGAACAGG
rnacentral:rRNA from 1 species